AGACACAGACAGUGCAGCGCGGCGCCAGC
rnacentral:sRNA from 1 species